rnacentral:rRNA from 1 species
CCUACGGGUGGCAGCAGUGAGGAAUAUUGGUCAAUGGCCGUAAGGCUGAACCAGCCAAGUCGCGUGAAGGAAGAAGGAUCUAUGGUUUGUAAACUUCUUUUAUAGGGGAAUAAAGGGAGCCACGUGUGGAUAUUUGCAUGUACCCUAUGAAUAAGCAUGGGCGAACUCCGUGCCAGCAGCCGCGGUAAUACGGAGGAUGCGAGCGGUAUCCGGAUUUAUGGGGUUUCAAGGGUGCGUAGGGGGUUUUUUAAGUCAGCGGUGAAAGUUUGUGGCUCACCCCUAAAAUUGCCGUUGAAACUGGCAGACUUGAGUGUGUUUGAGGUAGGCGGAAUGCGUGGUGUAGCGGUGACAUGCAUAGAUAUCACGCAGAACUCCGAUUGCGCAGGCAGCUUACUAAGCCAUAACUGACACUGACGCAC